rnacentral:lncRNA from 1 species
CUUCUGUUGUCAUUGGCUUAAAGAUGGCUCUCUUCAUGCACAUGUCAAAUGCAGCAAGUUCGGCUAACGACAGCGCAAAGUCCGGAGCAAAGUUUGCUGGCUGCCUGAAGAAGGAGCAUAACUUGCCUCUAGUUUAGCGAGGUCUUGAGGAUCCAAAUUACAUGAUGUAAGGACAUGGAGGACAAUAGAGGGACUAGCAGACAAAGGAAACUCUCCAGGAGUAGAGUUUCCUAAGCAUUGGCGUUGUUGCCGUUGAAAUGUCGGAAGUGGU